rnacentral:rRNA from 1 species
AGGACGAACGCUGGCGGCGUGCCUCAUACAUGCAAGUGGAGCGACGAACCAGGAUUUAUCCUGGGGCAAAGCCGCGAACGGGUGAGUAACACGUGGGUUACCUGCCCCGAUGAUUGGGACAACCCGAGGAAACUCGGGCUAAUACCAAACGUGUUCUUGGUCGUGAUGACCAAGAAGAAAGGAAGCCUCGGCCUCCGCAUCGGGAUGGGCCCGCGGCCCAUUAGCUAGUUGGUGGGGUAAUGGCCUACCAAGGCGACGAUGGGUAGCUGGUCUGAGAGGACGAUCAGCCACACUGGGACUGAGACACGGCCCAGACUCCUACGGGAGGCAGCAGUGGGGAAUCUUGCGCAAUGGGCGAAAGCCUGACGCAGCAACGCCGCGUGGAGGACGAAGGCUUUCUGAGUUGUAAACUCCUUUCAGCAGGGACGAUUGUGACGGUACCUGCAGAAGAAGCACCGGCCAACUACGUGCCAGCAGCCGCGGU